GCAGCGGCAGCGGCGGCGGCUGGAACGGUCAACUCGGCCGAGGGCGGCUUCCAACUGCUGUGAGUGCACGGGGAGAGGCCCAGGAGGCAGCGGCGGCGGCGGCAGCAGCUCUCGGGUUGCGGUGAAGAAUGUCAGCCACUAGCGUGGAUCAGAGACCUAAAGGGCAAGGAAAUAAGGGUGGGAAAACAUGAUGCACAGAUCUGUUGACUUUCCUAACUUGAUGUAGUCAGACCAGAGCAAAGAAUCAUCUGGCUCCUAAGGCCCAUGUUCUAUCUUGAUUUGACUCUGCUUCAUAGAGCAGAGGAAACAGGCGAAGAAUCAUUUUCAGUACAAAACGGUUCCAUUCAUCAAAAAGAUGCUGUAAAUGAUGAUGAUUUUGAGCCAUACUUAAGCAGCCAGACAAAUCAGAGUAACAGCUAUCCACCAAUGUCAGAUCCAUACAUGCCUAGUUACUAUGCUCCAUCCAUUGGAUUUCCAUAUUCUCUUGGGGAAGCAGCAUGGUCCACGGCGGGAGACCAACCUAUGCCAUAUCUGACAACCUAUGGACAAAUGAGUAAUGGAGAACAUCAUUAUAUACCAGAUGGUGUGUUUAGUCAACCUGGGGCAUUAGGAAAUACCCCUCCAUUUCUUGGUCAGCAUGGAUUUAACUUUUUUCCUGGUAAUGCUGAUUUCUCUACAUGGGGGACAAGUGGAUCUCAGGGACAAUCAACGCAAAGUUCUGCUUAUAGUAGCAGUUACGGCUAUCCACCUAGUUCUCUUGGGAGAGCUAUUACUGAUGGACAGGCUGGAUUUGGCAAUGAUACUUUGAGUAAGGUGCCCGGCAUUAACAGUAUUGAGCAAGGCAUGACGGGACUGAAAAUUGGUGGUGACCUGACAGCUGCAGUGACAAAAACUGUAGGUACAGCCUUGAGCAGCAGUGGUAUGACUAGCAUUGCAACCAAUAGUGUCCCAGUUAGCAGUGCAGCACCUAAACCGACCUCCUGGGCCGCCAUUGCUAGAAAGCCUGCCAAACCUCAACCGAAACUUAAACCCAAGGGCAAUGUGGGAAUUGGGGGUUCAGCUGUGCCACCACCUCCUAUAAAACACAACAUGAAUAUUGGAACUUGGGACGAAAAGGGGUCUGUGGUAAAGGCUCCACCAACCCAACCAGUUCUGCCUCCUCAAACUAUAAUCCAGCAGCCUCAGCCAUUAAUUCAACCACCACCAUUGGUGCAAAGCCAACUGCCUCAACAGCAGCCUCAGCCACCACAACCACAACAGCAACAAGGACCUCAGCCACAGGCCCAGCCUCACCAAGUGCAGCCCCAACAGCAACAGCUGCAGAACCGCUGGGUAGCUCCUCGGAAUAGGGGAGCUGGCUUCAACCAGAACAAUGGAGCGGGCGGUGAAAAUUUUGGUUUAGGUGUUGUUCCUGUCAGUGCUUCACCUUCUAGUGUAGAAGUGCAUCCAGUGCUGGAGAAGCUAAAGGCCAUAAACAACUAUAAUCCCAAAGACUUUGACUGGAACCUGAAGAAUGGACGUGUGUUUAUAAUUAAAAGCUAUUCUGAGGAUGACAUUCACCGUUCCAUUAAGUACUCUAUCUGGUGUAGUACUGAGCAUGGUAAUAAGCGUUUGGAUGCAGCUUACCGUUCCCUGAAUGGGAAAGGCCCACUCUAUUUACUCUUCAGUGUGAAUGGCAGUGGACAUUUUUGUGGAGUGGCUGAAAUGAAGUCUGUUGUGGACUAUAAUGCAUAUGCUGGUGUCUGGUCUCAGGAUAAGUGGAAAGGCAAAUUUGAAGUUAAGUGGAUCUUUGUCAAAGAUGUUCCCAAUAACCAAUUACGGCAUAUUCGCUUAGAAAAUAAUGACAACAAACCAGUUACCAAUUCAAGGGACACUCAAGAGGUACCCCUAGAAAAAGCUAAGCAAGUGCUUAAAAUAAUUGCUACUUUCAAGCAUACCACCUCAAUCUUUGAUGACUUUGCACAUUACGAAAAGCGUCAAGAAGAGGAGGAAGCCAUGCGUAGGCUGAAAUUCCUUAAAGCUUCCGGUAUGUGAAGAUUACAUUCUCUCAGAUGCAUGUUCUUCAGAUCUUGGCAGACAAUACAUGAUCACUCCAGGAACAUACGUAUAUAUUUAACUGAGAGAAAUAGAAACAAACAAUAACCAUAUGAAGAUGUCCUGUUAGAAUUACAACACUAAUGAUGUAGACUCUGGAAAUGCCUAAUAAGUCAAAGAAGACGUUAUUAAAGCUUUUUUCUGCUUAAGGUGACAUCUCUGGACUCUUUAACACAGAAUUGACUCUUGUAAUGGUUUUCAUCAGCGCAUCUGCCCUUAUACUCUCACCAAACACACUUGAGAACUGUAACUUCGUCAAGCACUUUUUGUCCUGAAGCUUUUACCAGUAUCUGCUGUCUUUUGUAAUUAUGCAUCCUAGCUAAGGCACAGAAGACUGAAUGAAUGCAAGGAUUCAUUAACUCUUUGAAUUUGUUAAAUACUAACAGUUAACCAUUAGAAGUGGUUCAAUGAUGUAAGAGUCACACUGCUUCAACUUUUCUUUGUUGUAGUUUUUAAAUUGUCGAUUUUUAGCUAUUUGACAGAUUAAAAGCAAAAUAAUCAUGCCAUAUUUAGUCCUGGAGUUCAAGUCUAAAUGUUUAUGUGAAGAAUUAUUGUAGUAAACUUUUAAUAUGGCAAAGCAACCUUAAGCUCUAUUUUAGCCAAAUGAGACAUAAUCCGAGAUUAUAUUAGAACAUUACCCUUGUCUUUAAACCGUUUGGUGUAACAGAAUGUUGAUAUGCAGCUUGGUGGAUUUCACCAGUUAAUGCACAUUCUUCUCCCUUGCCCCAAUAAUAUGUAUACUGAAAAAUGUGCAUUUGUCUGAGGAAUUAUUUUGUUUGCUACCACUUAAUGAAUCUCAAAAUUUUGAGUAAAUGUACCUCAGUCUAAUCAGACUUUUUAUGACCUUUAUAACUACAUGUAAAACCCUUAAUUCCUGUUUCUGGGUGUUUGCGAGCCUGAUUGCUAUCAUGAAGUAAAAAUUUAUUACUCUAGGUAUUCACUAGCUAAAUAAACAUAGUUCUUGUUUAGCAAGCAUAUACUGUUCCUCAGCUAUUUUCUCCAGCUUUUGCAGUGUCCUGGCAUUCUUAAAAUACUUUGGAAAUAUGGCCUUGAUUCAUGGAUUAAAUCAGUAUCUAAGUGAAUGUGUUGAUGUUUUACUGAUCAGAUCUAUAUAAAUGGGAAUACAGCAUAUAUCUGGGUAUUCUUAUAGUUAUCUUUUUAACAUCUUAUUUUUCUCAUUAAUUACAUAUCAACAUUAAUUUUGUAUCUUGAAGCAAAUUGAUUUUGUAUGAAUUAAAUGUGUCAAGCAUCUGUAUUAAACGAUUUGAUGGCAUACAGUUGUGAAGAUCAUGUACUGUCCCUUAUGUUAUUCCAAAAGGAGAAAGCUGUGAUGAAAGAUAUGAGAAGGGUGAAAAUAGCAAUACAGUAGAUUUGAAUGCUGUGGUGUUUUGCAUUACUCCAUUUAUGUUUACAUCAUGUUAGAAACCUUUUCACUGACAUCUUUGAUCACAUCGGUUCAAAAAUUUAGUGACGUAUUUCUUUGAGGCUUUCAUUUAUAUAAUUUUUUGUACAAUAUUUUCUUAAAAUAUACAAAUACUGUAUUCAAGUGAAAUAAAAUGCAGUAUUUGUAGAUAAUCGUAGCUACUUCACAGGUCUUUGGUAGUUCCAUUGUAGUUACAUCAGUGUUUACUGAAGGGAACAUUAAAAUAUUAAAGGUAUAUUACAAAAUAAAGACUUUCUUAAAGGAAAGUUGCACCUAUUUUACCUUUUUAAGAGUAAGCCAUGAAAUCUUAUCUUGUAACAUGUCUCUUAACUAUUUAUAAUAAAAAUUGGCAUUUGGGUAUAGUAACCACAGCAACGUUCUACAGCCCUGAGAUUAUAUAGGUAGGACGUGUCAAAGGUGACUGUUGUCACUCUGGAGGUCCUAUUAGAGAAAACUGCAAGGGGUGACCUCACAGAAAGGCUCUGAGUCCUGGCUCUGAGGUUCUCUUUUUCUUGGUGCUUUAUUAGCAACUCUGAAUAUUUUUAUAAAACUAGUUACAUUUUAAAUGGAUUGAAACUUGUUUGAUUUACCUUUGGUUUCUCUGUGAAAAGUGUCACAGCAGCACUCGGCAGGCAGACCAGUCGUCACAGCAGACUCAGAAAGGUCAAGUGUAAUCGAGUAGUCUGUUCAUUGUGAGGAGUACAUCCCAGUGCCUUUUACCUGGAUUUCUAAUAUUAAGUGAAAUGGGUGCAGCAUUCCUUUGGAAAUAAAAACUUUACAAUCAGUAGGGUUUUUUUUCAUUUACGAUUUUUUCAGAGCACCUACUUUCUCUUCCUCCUUGGUCUGUCAAUACGUAUGUUGCAAAUAUUUUUUCCUCUAAGUGAAAUUAUCACAGGUUGUCUCAAUAGCACAACUAACUGAAUGUUUCUUAACUGUAGGAACCAAAAGGGGGAGAACCUGGGCUCUCCAGCAGGAAACACUUAAUCAAAUGUUUGAAUAAUCACAAAUUAAGACAUGACUGAUUGGCCCAGUAAAUUUUUUGCUUAAUGUUUUUUCAAGAUCUGGUUUGAAUGUUUCUUAUUAAAGUUAUCUUAUGUGGGUAUUUUAUUUUGAAAGGUAUAAUAGUUUGUAUAUUUAACAGUAAGGGUAAAAAUGUAACCAAAAUUAGUAUUCUUUCUCUAUACUUACUGGUACUUGAAGAUUCCUUUCAAAAGAAACCCCAGCCUUUUCCUCAUUUCAAUACUUAAUUCCUUAUUUUAACUUAAGUGAUCUUUCUAAUUCAAAGGCUGUGUUCUUUUUGAAUACCAUGCAUGGAGGUUAAGCUGAUGUUAAAACAGUUUGCAAUAAAAAAAAUCAGCUUAAGUCAUUUAAUCAUUUCAAGUGCAUCCUGUAAAAGUAAGUUUGAGAAAAUUGAGAAUUGUGUUUCCAUUAAGUUUUGCAUAUCUUUUGUUAUGCCAUGUAAAUUCCCUUCUUUUUCAUGUGAUUACAGAAAGGGUAUGAUAAAAUGAUUAGUUAAUUUACAUUCACUUGUAGCAAUUACAUGAGAAUUUGAAUUUUGUCGUGUUUGGGUUUGUUCAUUCCUGUGAAUGAUGGUACAGUUGGGUGAGAUUUUCUGUUAUGGUACCCAAACUCACCAUUUGGUCCUCUUUAAUCUUUGAGGGUUUCAAUAAAAAUUGUUCACUCA